rnacentral:rRNA from 2 species
CUGCGACCUAUCAGCUUGUUGGUGAGGUAAUGGCCCACCAAGGCAAUUACAGGUACGGGCUCUGAGAGGAGAGGCCCGGAGAUGGGUACUGAGACACGGACCCAGGUCCUAUGGGGCGCAGCAGGCGAGAAAACUUUGCAAUGUGCGAAAGCACGACAAGGUUAAUCCGAGUGAUUUCUGCUAAAGGAAUCUUUUGUUAGUCAUAAAACCACUAGUGAAUAAGGGGUGGGCAAGUUCUGGUGUCAGCCGCCGCGGUAAAACCAGCACCUCAAGUGGUCAGGAGGAUUAUUGGGCCUAAAGCAUCCGUAGCCUGUUCUGUUAGUUUUUGGUUAAAUCUAUGCGCUCAACGCAUAGGCUGCCAAAAAUACUGCAGAACUAGGGAGUGGGAGAGGUAGACGGUACUCGGUAGGAAGGGGUAAAAUCUUUUGAUCUAUUGAUGACCACCUGUGGCGAAGGCGGUCUACCAGAACACGU